rnacentral:rRNA from 1 species
GAUGAACGCUGGCGGCGCGCCUAAUACAUGCAAGUCGAGCGAACAGACGAGGAGCUUGCUCCUCUGACGUUAGCGGCGGACGGGUGAGUAACACGUGGAUAACCUACCUAUAAGACUGGGAUAACUUCGGGUAACCGGAGCUAAUACCGGAUAAUAUAUUGAACCGCAUGGUUCAAUAGUGAAAGACGGUUUUGCUGUCACUUAUAGAUGGAUCCGCGCCGCAUUAGCUAGUUGGUAAGGUAACGGCUUACCAAGGCGACGAUGCGUAGCCGACCUGAGAGGGUGAUCGGCCACACUGGAACUGAGACACGGUCCAGACUCCUACGGGAGGCAGCAGUAGGGAAUCUUCCGCAAUGGGCGAAAGCCUGACGGAGCAACGCCGCGUGAGUGAUGAAGGUCUUCGGAUCGUAAAACUCUGUUAUUAGGGAAGAACAAAUGUGUAAGUAACUAUGCACGUCUUGACGGUACCUAAUCAGAAAGCCACGGCUAACUACGUG